AUCUUUAAGACUUGAUAACUACUUAUCCAUGAUCCAUGAGAUGUGAUCAUCAGUCUAUAUACAUAAUAGUCUUAAUGCUUUAAUGUUAUCCGACUUCAUCUAUAGGGUAGUUUUGGUUGCUUGUGAUGCUCUAUUUAUUGCAUUUAUGAUUAUUAUACUUUGUAUAUAUUUGCAUAUAUGUUUGCAUGCAUCAUAUUAUCAUUGUGUUGGAUUCUGUACAGGUUGGUUUCUCUGAG
rnacentral:lncRNA from 1 species